GAGUCUGACGGAGCACGCCGCGUGAGUGAUGAAGGCUUUCGGGUCGUAAAACUCUGUUGUUAGGGAAGAACAAGUGCUAGUUGAAUAAGCUGGCACCUUGACGGUACCUAACCAGAAAGCCACGGCUAACUACGUGCCAGCAGCCGCGGUAAUACGUAGGUGGCAAGCGUUAUCCGGAAUUAUUGGGCGUAAAGCGCGCGCAGGUGGUUUCUUAAGUCUGAUGUGAAAGCCCACGGCUCAACCGUGGAGGGUCAUUGGAAACUGGGAGACUUGAGUGCAGAAGAGGAAAGUGGAAUUCCAUGUGUAGCGGUGAAAUGCGUAGAGAUAUGGAGGAACACCAGUGGCGAAGGCGACUUUCUGGUCUGUAACUGACACUGAGGCGCGAAAGCGUGGGGAGCAAACAGGAUUAGAUACCCUGGUAGUCCACGCCGUAAACGAUGAGUGCUAAGUGUUAGAGGGUUUCCGCCCUUUAGUGCUGAAGUUAACGCAUUAAGCACUCCGCCUGGGGAGUACGGCCGCAAGGCUGAAACUCAAAUG
rnacentral:rRNA from 1 species